rnacentral:lncRNA from 1 species
AAAGUUGUACUCGCCUCUAGUGCAAUGUCUGAAGCGAGGUAAUCUUGCCUUAGAAUAUGCAGCCAUAAAGUGAGGUCCAGUAAGUAGGCGUCACAUGCACUGGUUGUGAGAGAGAUAUGGAAAUGACGGACCACCUUUUAAAUAAAUGUAAAAAUGUCC